rnacentral:lncRNA from 1 species
GGAAAACCUGAUGAAAGUUAGAAGGUAAAAUCGAAACCUCUAUAUGAGUAUUUCGUGCCUGCUGGCACUGAGAUUGAUUAUUCUGCACAGACAUGGAAGAAGAACUUAGUUCUGAAACCAAAUUAUCAUGCACAAAUUCCCCUUGAUCAUCUUGCUGCAUAAAAACCCAAGGUUAUAAAAAAACUCUAGGAGAACUAAGAAAAGAGGACCCAGAAAAU